UGUGUGUCACCCUUUGGGACUCCCAAUCACUGCCGGUUGUGAUACAGCCUGGAUCUUUUCAAAGAGCUCUUACACCAAAGGCAUUAUCCUUUUCACAAUAUUAUUACAACUACAUAGUGUGGGUAUAUAUAUAUACAAAACGUUGACUGCAAUGGGCCUUUAAUCUAACCAUGAUUGCGUUCUGACCCCAGUGCAGCUCAAUGUAAACAAGCGCAACGUUAGAAUCUUCUGGCUAACAGUAAGGUUAGCUGUAUUGUUCGCAACUUAUGUCACAUUUACUUUGUACUGACAAGUUGUCUGCAAGAGUUAGCUAACGUGGUCAGAACGAACAUAUUGGAGGAAACUAGCCAGCUAAAUUUAGAAAAUUUAGCAAGCCAACUAACGUUCGCAAGCUAGCUUAGCUGGCUAAAUAGCUAGCUAGCUUCUAUGASGCCUUAAACGUGACCUUUCCUUUUAUCAACAACCAAACGCAGUUUAUUUUGUGGAGUAAAGUUACAUUUUGGUUGUCAGUGUGUGAUGAGGAUAAGUUGACUCAUGAGUUCCUCGGGGAGUCUCGMGUUCCCCUGAAGCGUAUCAAGCCAGACCAGACCAAACACUUCCACACCUGUCUGGAACACUCACCCCCACUACCCUCUCCAACCACCACAGGGACAGCUGAGGAAUCUCCUGCUACUUAAGAGAGGUGCUUUCCCCUUUCCUUCCUCCCUCCUUCUUGUUCCUCCCUCCUUCUUGCU